CCUACGGGGGACAGCAGUGGGGAAUAUUGCGCAAUGGGCGAAAGCCUGACGCAGCGACGCCGCGUGAGGGAUGAAGGUCUUCGGAUCGUAAAGCUCUGUCAGCAGGGAAGAAGGGACACUGUGCUAAUCAGCAGUGAAUUGACGGUACCUGCAAAGGAAGCACCGGCUAACUCCGUGCCAGCAGCCGCGGUAAUACGGAGGGUGCGAGCGUUAAUCGGAAUUACUGGGCGUAAAGCGCACGUAGGCGGUAUGUCAAGUCAAGGGUGAAAUCCCCGCGCUCAACGUGGGAACUGCCUUUGAAACUGGCAAGCUGGAGUGUGUGAGAGGAGAGUGGAAUUCCAGGUGUAGGGGUGAAAUCCGUAGAUAUCUGGAGGAACAUCAGUGGCGAAGGCGACUAUCUGGCACAUAACUGACGCUGAGGAGCGAAAGCGUGGGUAGCAAACAGGAUUAGAUACCCGGGUAGUC
rnacentral:rRNA from 1 species